rnacentral:rRNA from 1 species
CACGUAGGGCGCAAGCGUUGUCCGGAAUUAUUGGGCGUAAAGAGCUCGUAGGCGGUCUGUUGCGUCCGCUGUGAAAACUCGGGGCUUAACCCCGAGCCUGCAGUGGAUACGGGCAGACUAGAGGUAGGUAGGGGAGAAUGGAAUUCCCGGUGUAGCGGUGAAAUGCGCAGAUAUCGGGAGGAACACCGGUGGCGAAGGCGGUUCUCUGGGCCUUACCUGACGCCGAGGAGCGAAAGCGUGGGGAGCGAACAGG